GACGAACGCUGGCGGCGUGCUUAACACAUGCAAGUCGAACGGAAAGGCCCUUCUUUUGUGGGGUGCUCGAGUGGCGAACGGGUGAGUAACACGUGAGUAACCUGCCCUUGACUUUGGGAUAACUUCAGGAAACUGGGGCUAAUACCGGAUAGGAGCUCCUGCUGCAUGGUGGGGGUUGGAAAGUUUCGGCGGUUGGGGAUGGACUCGCGGCUUAUCAGCUUGUUGGUGGGGUAGUGGCUUACCAAGGCUUUGACGGGUAGCCGGCCUGAGAGGGUGACCGGCCACAUUGGGACUGAGAUACGGCCCAGACUCCUACGGGAGGCAGCAGUGGGGAAUAUUGCACAAUGGGCAGAAGCCUGAUGCAGCAACGCCGCGUGCGGGAUGACGGCCUUCGGGUUGUAAACCGCUUUCGCCUGUGACGAAGCGUGAGUGACGGUAAUGGGUAAAGAAGCACCGGCUAACUACGUG
rnacentral:rRNA from 1 species